UCAUGGCUCAAGAUGAACGCUAGCUACAGGCUUAACACAUGCAAGUCGAGGGGAAACGACAUUGAAGCUUGCUUUCGAUGGUCGUCGGCCGGCGCACGGGUGAGUAACGCGUAUCCAACCUGCCUCUGACCAAGGGAUAACCCGUCGAAAGUCGGACUAAUACCUUAUGCAGUCGUCGGAAGUCAUCUGAUGACGACGAAAGAUUUCAUCGGUGAGGGAUGGGGAUGCGUCUGAUUAGCUUGUUGGCGGGGUAACGGCCCACCAAGGCGACGAUCAGUAGGGGUUCUGAGAGGAAGGUCCCCCACAUUGGAACUGAGACACGGUCCAAACUCCUACGGGAGGCAGCAGUGAGGAAUAUUGGUCAAUGGACGAGAGUCUGAACCAGCCAAGUAGCGUGCAGGAUGACGGCCCUAUGGGUUGUAAACUGCUUUUAUGCGGGGAUAAAGUGAGGGACGUGUCCUUCAUUGCAGGUACCGCAUGAAUAAGGACCGGCUAAUUCCGUGCCAGCAGCCGCGGUAAUACGGAAGGUCCGGGCGUUAUCCGGAUUUAUUGGGUUUAAAGGGAGCGUAGGCCGUGGAUUAAGCGUGUUGUGAAAUGUAGACGCUCAACGUCUGACUUGCAGCGCGAACUGGUCCACUUGAGUGUGCACAACGCAGGCGGAGUUCGUCGUGUAGCGGUGAAAUGCUUAGAUAUGACGAAGAACCCCGAUUGCGAAGGCAGCUUGCGGGGGCACGACUGACGCUGAAGCUCGAAAGUGCGGGUAUCGAACAGGAUUAGAUACCCUGGUAGUCCGCACGGUAAACGAUGGAUGCCCGUUGUCAGGCUAUUUUAGUCUGGUGACCAAAGCGAAAGCAUUAAGCAUCCCACCUGGGGAGUACGCCGGCAACGGUGAAAACUCAAAAGGAAAUUGACGGGGGCCCGCACAAGCGGAGGAACAUGUGGUUUAAAUUCGAUGAUACGCGAGGAACCUUACCCGGGCUUGAAUUGCAGACGAACGAUUCAGAGAUGAAAGAGGCCCUUCGGGGCGUCUGUGAAGGUGCUGCAUGGUUGUCGUCAGCUCGUGCCGUGAGGUGUCGGCUUAAAGUGCCAUAACGAGCGCGAACCCCUAUUCUCGGUUGCCAUCGGGUGAAUGCCGGGCGACUCCGUGGAGACUGCCACCGUAAGGUGUGAGAAGGGUGGGGACGAACGUCAAUUCGGCGCGGCCCUUACGUUCCGGGGCUACGCGCGUGUUACGAAUGGCCGGUACGGCGAGUCGGCCGCGUGCAGAUGCGGUCCGAUCCUAAAAGCCGGUCCCGGUUCGAACCGGGGUCUGCGCCCGGACCCCGCGAGGCCGGAUUU
rnacentral:rRNA from 1 species